GAGCCGUUAGCUCAGACGGUAGAGCAAUUGCCUUUUAAGCAAUGGGUCAUUGGUUCGAUCCCAAUACGGCUCA
rfam:Mucispirillum schaedleri ASF457 genomic scaffold acYAd-supercont1.1, whole genome shotgun sequence.